GAAACACACUGGUCCUCUCUUUCUCUCUCACUCUCUGUGAACUCUCACGCCAUUAAUCCGAAGAAGAUAUCUUCCGCCAUUGAGAUUCUCCCCACCUUGAAUCCAGGUUAUUAUGGAAGCAAUGGGGUAGAUGAAAAUGGACUUCCCAUGUCUAAAAAUUCAACUAAACUUGGCCACCUGAAGGGCUCUUUGGUUCGUACUCAUAUCCCUAUCUCCUACAAAACCUGGAAGGAUGUGCCAGAUACUUACAAAGAGGAUGUCUGGAAUGAACUACAGAUACCAUUUCUACUGCCCAAUACUUUCAAGGAAACUGUGGUGAAGGGGAUGUCUGAUCCAUGGAGGUGACAUAAGUGGGAGUUACGAACAACAUAUUAUGAUCCAUAUACUACUUAUGAAGAAAGGAUCUUGCAUACUCCUCCAAAUGUAAAAGAUGAGGACUGGGAAACAUUCGGUCGCAACGAGGAGGAUGAAGAAGUACACAAAACUAGAGUAGAUAAUAAUAGGAAAAAGAAAAGAUAUGAUUACAUUUAUACCACCGGUCGAAAACCUCAUAGUUUGGUGAGAGCUGAACUGGAGAUGGAGAAUCCAUGAGUAGAAAUGUUGUGAAGAUAUCUCAGCCAUCAUCUUUCGCGUAUAUCAACGAUAAACACAUAUGGCUUUUACUUUUAUGCUAAUGUUCACAUGGCUUUUUACUUUUUCUUGCUAAUUUUCACACUUUUGCAAAAGUCCAGUUGCCCUUGUGCAUAAGAAGCAUAUGAUGUAAUGUAUAUGUGGUUGACUAGUAUUUUACUUUAACUGAAAAGACUUGGCAUGUAAUAUAUAUCUAUGUGAACCUUAACCAUUCUCGUAUGAAUGGAUUUUACUUGUUGCAUUUAUGUGGUUCCUGUAUACGUAUAUGUUUGUAGUUUCGCAGGAGUAUAAGGUCAACUGAAGCUAGUAGCCACCCGAGGGAAUAUCAAUCCCUGGUAAGUUCAUUUGAUUAUGACUGGAUUCAGUUUGCUGAAAUUUUCUAAUAUUAACCUUCUGUUGACACUUUCUUGCGAGGUAUUACACUUAAUGAUCAGCGAGCUGCGGGAUUAUGCCGUUUGCGACCUUUCAAUGGCUCUGAUUCUCACGGAGAGGCUUUAUGUGGUAACUGCUCAGUUUGACCAGUUAAGAGCCAUAUGAUUUCAAAAAGAUGUUAAUAGAGCCACGCCGAGAAGAAAAACGCAAAAGGUGUCCAUUUCACACUCAACGGAUGCAUCUAGAUCUGUACGUGCAGAAGAGCAAGAGACAACACCUUCUUGUGUGAAUGUCCUUAACUGAUUCAUGUAUAUUUGUAUACAUGACUUGCUAAGGCAUCAGCCUUGGGAUGCUGAUCAUGUCCGCAGGGGUUGAUGGGUUCUUUCGGGCUCAUUGAAAUUAUCAACACUUGCAUUCCCUCUUUAAUCAAUUUUUUGUUUUCAUGUUUUGCUUAUACGUUGUCUUGGCAUUUACUUUGUAUAUUACUUUAUUUGAUAUUUUUGUAUUUUUCUUACUUAAGUACUAACACUUGCAUUUCCUUUGUUAUCUGAAUUAGUUCAACUCUCUUUUUAUGCAGGUUCUGCAAGAUUCUUACAUUUAUGGAGGUACUGCUGCUUACAACCAAGGCGAAGUAUGAACCACUUUGAGAAUGAAGUACUAGCACAAGGGUUUUGUUAGUCAAGGGUUCAGGAUGGCUAGUAAAUGUGCACUGAAUUCUUAAAUUGUGUUUGCAAAAGAGGAAGAAGAAAAUAAUUCAUCGAAUUCUUGUGGCAGGAGUUCUUACUCUUGCAUUCUCAAGGUUUCUUGCGCUGCUAGCACAUUUGAGGAGGUUGAUGAAGUUCUACAGCUUGAUAUGGCAAGGGAUGAGAGCUAGAACAAGGAAACAUAAGUAUUCAUUUUUAACAUCUUCUCUCCAGAGUGAUCUAGUUCAUUCACAUGGUGAUGAUUUGCACCACUCAUUUGGGUUGCUGGUUAUGGACAAUAUCCUGCUUAUUAAUGAUUUCCACCACUAAUAACAAUUGGGGUUCAGUAGGAUCAUGCUUGCAGAUGUGUGGCCAUAGAUGGGCAGGUACUUCAUGUAUUUGUCUUUCAUCCUUCAUUUUUCCAUUGUAGACAAAAUGUUAGACUUCCUUAUUGGUUGAAACAUUAUGUAACUUUCUGUUGGUAUAAUAUGGAGUGUAUAGACAUUAUCCAAAUGACAAUUGUUGUUGUCUAGUGAUUCUUGUAAUGUUUUUCUUUGUUGUAA